rnacentral:rRNA from 1 species
GCGUCGAGCGGCGGACGGGUGAGUAAUACUUAGGAAUCUACCUAGUAGUGGGGGAUAGCUCGGGGAAACUCGAAUUAAUACCGCAUACGACCUACGGGAGAAAGGGGGCAACUUGUUGCUCUCGCUAUUAGAUGAGCCUAAGUCGGAUUAGCUAGAUGGUGGGGUAAAGGCCUACCAUGGCGACGAUCUGUAGCUGGUCUGAGAGGAUGAUCAGCCACACCGGGACUGAGACACGGCCCGGACUCCUACGGGAGGCAGCAGUGGGGAAUAUUGGACAAUGGGGGCAACCCUGAUCCAGCCAUGCCGCGUGUGUGAAGAAGGCCUUUUGGUUGUAAAGCACUUUAAGCAGUGAAGAAGACUCCAUGGUUAAUACCCAUGGACGAUGACAUUAGCUGCAGAAUAAGCACCGGCUAACUCUGUGCCAGCAGCCGCGGUAAUACAGAGGGUGCAAGCGUUAAUCGGAAUUACUGGGCGUAAAGCGAGCGUAGGUGGCUUGAUAAGUCAGAUGUGAAAUCCCCGGGCUUAACCUGGGAACUGCAUCUGAUACUGUUAGGCUAGAAUAGGUGAGAGGAAGGUAGAAUUCCAGGUGUAGCGGUGAAAUGCGUAGAGAUCUGGAGGAAUACCGAUGGCGAAGGCAGCCUUCUGGCAUCAUAUUGACACUGAGGUUCGAAAGCGUGGGUAGCAAACAGGAUUAGAUACCCUGGUAGUCCACGCCGUAAACGAUGUCUACUAGUCGUUGGGUCCCUUGAGGACUUAGUGACGCAGCUAACGCAAUAAGUAGACCGCCUGGGGAGUACGGCCGCAAGGUUAAAACUCAAAUGAAUUGACGGGGGCCCGCACAAGCGGUGGAGCAUGUGGUUUAAUUCGAUGCAACGCGAAGAACCUUACCUGGUCUUGACAUAUCUAGAAUCCUGC